rnacentral:rRNA from 1 species
GAUGAACGCUGGCGGCGUGCCUAAUACAUGCAAGUCGAGCGAACGGACGAGAAGCUUGCUUCUCUGAUGUUAGCGGCGGACGGGUGAGUAACACGUGGAUAACCUACCUAUAAGACUGGGAUAACUUCGGGAAACCGGAGCUAAUACCGGAUAAUAUUUUGAACCGCAUGGUUCAAAAGUGAAAGACGGUCUUGCUGUCACUUAUAGAUGGAUCCGCGCUGCAUUAGCUAGUUGGUAAGGUAACGGCUUACCAAGGCAACGAUGCAUAGCCGACCUGAGAGGGUGAUCGGUCACACUGGAACUGAGACACGGUCCAGACUCCUACGGGAGGCAGCAGUAGGGAAUCUUCCGCAAUGGGCGAAAGCCGGACGGAGCAACGCCGCGUGAGUGAUGAAGGUCUUCGGAUCGUAAAACUCUGUUAUUAGGGAAGAACAUAUGUGUAAGUAACUGUGCACAUCUUGACGGUACCUAAUCAGAAAGCCACGGCUAACUACG